GACGUAGGGCGCAAGCGUUGUCCGGAUUUAUUGGGCGUAAAGAGCGCGCAGGCGGUCGUUCAAGUCGCGUGUGAAAGCCCCCGGCUCAACUGGGGAGGGUCACGCGAUACUGAUCGACUCGAAGGCAGGAGAGGGUAGUGGAAUUCCCGGUGUAGUGGUGAAAUGCGUAGAUAUCGGGAGGAACACCAGUGGCGAAGGCGACUACCUGGCCUGUUCUUGACGCUGAGGCGCGAAAGCUAGGGGAGCAAACGGG
rnacentral:rRNA from 1 species